rnacentral:rRNA from 1 species
GUCUAGGGCCAUGCCACCCUGAACAAGCCCAAUGUCUGAUCUCAGAAGCUAAGCAGGGUUGGGCCUUGUUAGCACUUGGAUGGGAGACCACCUAGGAAGACCAGGUGCUGUAGGCA